rnacentral:rRNA from 1 species
AUUGAACGCUGGCGGCAUGCUUUACACAUGCAAGUCGAACGGCAGCGCGGGCUUCGGCCUGGCGGCGAGUGGCGAACGGGUGAGUAAUACAUCGGAACGUGCCCAGUAGUGGGGGAUAGCUCGGCGAAAGCCGGAGUAAUAACGCAUACGACCUGAGGGUGAAAGCGGGGGAUCUUCGGACCUCGCGCUAUUGGAGCGGCCGAUGGCAGAUUAGCUAGUUGGUGGGGUAAAGGCCUACCAAGGCGACGAUCUGUAGCUGGUCUGAGAGGAGGACCAGCCACACUGGAACUGAGACACGGCCCAGACUCCUACGGGAGGCAGCAGUGGGGAAUUUUGGACAAUGGGCGAAAGCCUGAUCCAGCAAUGCCGCGUGUGUGAUGAAGGCCUUCGGGUUGUAAAGCACUUUUGGCGGGAACGAAAAGGACUGUGCCAAUACCACGGUUCGAUGACGGUACCCGCAGAAUAAGCACCGGCUAACUACGUG